rnacentral:rRNA from 1 species
GACGAACCGUGCGAACGUUGUUCGGAAUCACUGGGCUUAAAGGGCGCGUAGGCGGGCUGCCAAGUCUGGGGUGAAAUCCCACGGCUCAACCGUGGAACUGCCUUGGAUACUGGCGGCCUUGAGGGAGGUAGGGGCAUGCGGAACUGUGGGUGGAGCGGUGAAAUGCGUUGAUAUCCACAGGAACUCCGGUGGCGAAGGCGGCGUGCUGGACCGGCAUUGACGCUGAGGAGCGAAAGCUAGGGGAGCAAACGGG